AUCUAACUGACGAGUCCCAAACAGGACGAAACAAAUGUUCUGGAU
rnacentral:hammerhead_ribozyme from 1 species